UUUAUGUAUUUGUCUUAAUUAAUCUAAAUUGUAAUUUCUACAUACUUUAGCGUUAGCAGUCCAUCAGGCCAAUAGAUGGCGCUGUUGCACUGUUGUAGCAGGAGAAACAGCAAGUUCUGGCCAAGCGCUCACCAGUCUGCAGAAUAAGGAUCAGAACUUUACAGAGGUAAACUGUGUCUGUUCUUUUUGCUAUUACAGCAGUUCAUCGUGGCCCUGUCAUUCGCCUCCUUCACCAAAGCUCUGUCAGGGACCUACAUGAAGAGUGCCAUCACUCAGAGAGACACUUUGACCUGUCCAGCUCUCUCAUCGGACUCAUAGACGGCAGCUUUGAGAUGGGUAUCAACAAUAGCAUUGAGUUGCUUGAAAAUUCAUGUAGUGAAAACCAGAUACAGACUACAGUAUGAUCCAUUUUUUUUGUGGUUCAAUCAGAGUCUGCUCUCAAUACUGUCCAGUUUUAUAGUUGUUCCUAUUAAUUGAUUGACUGGUGUUUGUCCAUGACUCUACUGUCAAACCUCUAACAUUUAUGUGAUGCUAUGUUGUUGCAGCCUAGUAUCCAAACUGAUAUGCCAUUUUUAGUUACCAAAAAAACUGUCUUUAUAAUUUGCGAUUCCUGGCUACUGUAGUGUUGUGGUUUCUUGCAGGUAACCUGCUGUUCCUGGCUGUGGUCAGCCAUUUUGGGGCGAAGCUGCACCGGCCCAGGCUCAUUGCUAUGGGCUGUUUCCUCAUGGYUGUAGGAUCCUUCCUCACAGGCCUGCCACUCUUCUUCAUGGGACGGUGCAGAGAAGAGACCAGAAGAUGAAGCAGUGGUUCCAACCAGUGUCUCCACCCCUCAAGGGCCCAUUUAACUGCCAAGAGCUCUCGUUUGCCUACAUCGUAGUUGCCUUCUGCUAGCGAGAACCGCUUGGAGAGAAAGGCGCAUGGGUGCAGUUUCUUGUCCUCCUCGUUCCGCUGUGAAAGGACCGCACCAGCUCCGGCGUCCGAGGCGUCUACCUCUACCACAAAGGGGCGAGUAGGAUCAGGAUGAACGAGGAUGGGUCCGAAGGUGAAACGUCCCUUGAGCUCUAUGAAUGACCUGUCAGCCUCGGGAUUCCAGAAAAAAACUGCUUGAGUGAGGUUGGACAAUUCUGUAUGUGUUCCGGAAAGGUUUUUGGAGAAGAUCAGGAUGUCGUCGAGGUAAACAAAGACGAACCGAUUCAACAAAUCCCUAAGAGUGUCAUUGAUSAAUGCUUGAAAGACUGCCGAUUUUAAGCGUUGCAGAGGUCCAGUUUGGUGAAGAAUUGGGCUCCUAGGGCCAACUCCAAGGCGGCGGACAUCGGGUAGGGGGUUUGUUGAACAUGAGUGGAAAUGAAACUCCAGCACACUGGUAGCACUAAAGACGUGUGAGUAUAACUUUUCCAGGUGAGUUGAACCUGCCUGUGGGUGCGGUGGGGAUAUUCCUGGGAGGUCUACUGAUGAAGAGGUAUAAGCUUGGCGUUGUGUCUGGAGCCCAGCUGUCUUUCGUCACCUCCUUCAUGGCCUACCUCCUCCUCCCUCUGCAGUCUGGCACUAAGUGUGACAACGUUAAGGUCGCUGGUCUGACCAUGUCCUACAACAGGUCCCCUGGUGUACGAUGGCAGCCUGUUGUCAGAGUGUAACACUGCUGCUGCUUGGCUGGGGAGUGGGACCCUGUGUGUUCAGACAACGGCAUCACCUACACCUCCCCCUGCCUCGCAGGCUGCUCCAGCUUUACAGGUUACGGCAAGAACACGAGUGAUCUUCCUUGGCCUCAUCACAUGUCUCAGUGGCUCCUCCUUAGGAGGGAGGGGGACACCACCACGGUACAGCCCCCACACUCAUCGCUAGAGAUCGAACUUCAGACUCCCUCCAAAACCACUGAACCCCUCAACACACCGAAAGAGAUUACGGUGCACACCCUUAGAGGGAGCCGAAACAGGAUAACUCCCUCCAAACUCACAAAGACACAGAGGAGGAGGAACUAACUAACAYCCAGGGAGAGAGAACGAGUGACCUCAGUCGAACACAGAAAGAGGAGGCGUUAGAUAGAGGAGGAGGUUACCCCUGAGGCAAUUCCUCCUGUUCAUGUGAGCAAGAAAGAGCAGAAGGCUUCUGAUCAGCCAAAUGGCAGGCAGAGKGAGAGGUCAUAGUGAUUCACACCCACAGAGAGAAAGACAACCCACACAACCUCUUGGUUGAGAUGAACCACACAGAGGUAGAGGCAGAGGGCCUUCAGGGCUAGCCAGUCAGCCUGUCUGCUCUGAUCCUCAAGUCAAUUGUAUUUAAAUUCAUGUUCAUUAAAGAUUUUUAUUCAA